rnacentral:misc_RNA from 1 species
CUCAGUUCAGGUCGUAGGCUGCAACUCGCCUACGUGAAGGAGGAAUCGCUAGUAAUCGCAGGUCAGCAUACUGCGGUGAAUACGUUCCCGGGCCUUGUACACACCGCCCGUCACACCAUGGAAGUUGGCCACGCCCGAAGCCGUUACUCCAACCCUUGUGGAGGAGGACGUCGAAGGUGGGGCUGAUGACUGGGGUGAAGUCGUAACAAGGUAUCCGUACCGGAAGGUGCGGAUGGAUCACCUCCUAACAGGGAGACAACACAAUGAUUUUGAUGCCUGAGUGCUUUUAUUCUUAGGCCGAAAUCCUGUCACCUUAGGUCGAUCGGUACCUCAGCUUUGAAAUCAAGAAUCAGCAGCAAUGUUGAUUGCUUGAUGGAGAUUUUCAGUUCCUAAACUUUGUCUAGGUCACACCCCAAAAGGGAUGAGACUCCUGGGCCAUUAGCUCAGGUGGUUAGAGCGCACCCCUGAUAAGGGUGAGGUCCCUGGUUCAAGUCCAGGAUGGCCCAUUCGGUGUUGGGGGUUUAGCUCAGUUGGUAGAGCGCCUGCUUUGCAAGCAGGAUGUCAGGAGUUCGAGUCUCCUAACCUCCACUGACCGAACUUUUUCCCCAUCUCCAAAUCGUUGGAGUUGAGCUCGAUUGGCGUGUGAUUUAGAUGUGUCCGCUGGAUGACCCCAGCUUCCUGUCAUUCCAAGUUUUAAGUUGAAAGCUUUAAAUUUGGUUGAUAAGAUGCUGGGCUCGAACU